GAGGCGCUGCUUCUUUUUCAAUGAGACAGAAAGAUCAAUAGCUUUGUCCCAUAGUCCUUGACGGAAUUUAACCAUUUUAACUCAGAAACCAUUUUCACCUGCAGAAUCCAAUUCUCCAGAUUUGCUUCGGCCAAGGGCAGGCUGCCAUACAGCAUAGCUACCCCUUGCAUCUCUAUGACUUGUAGCCCUGAGACUCCUUGGUCAAACAUUGUCAUUUAACCUCCAUAACAACUGUAUAAAGUAGGUAGGGCAGCUGUGACUGUCCCUAUUGCUUAAGGAAUGCAGCUGAUCUUUUGAGAAGCUGUGUGACUUUCCUGGGUCACAUAACAUUUUGGAUUUUAUGCUAUGUCAGAGAUGCUGGGUUUAUGGGUUAUAUUAGACACCUCACAUAUUUCCCAACAUGCAUCUAUCUGAGCAGCAGUGACUCUGCCCUCUCUGCUGGGCUCCUUCAAACUGGAAAAGCAUUUCAGCAUCUUCAUCAGACAAAACUAAGUGAAGAGGUUUUCAAAGAAGAUUACAGAAGGCCUUCUCAAGCAGGCCUGCCUGGUGAAAUUAUAAGCAUCUGGUUAGUCAAAACCUGAAGACAUUUAAGUAAGAAGUCCCCAGGCACACAGUGAUGGUGCCCACAGCCUCCAGGUGGAUGGAAACGGAAUAACGGUCUUCAGUUGCCAAGGUUGGACGCUGCCAGGAGUUCUUAUGCUCUCUACAGACCACAAGACAGUGUUUAGUGCUCCUGCUUCACAGCUGAGGGAAGAAACUACAUUUAUGCAGGAAUUGAACACAGGCUCCUGCCAUUGAGCAAAACUGUCUCUAGACAGAGAGGAAAGAACACAGUUUUGGACUACAGAGAAAUCUGGAACAUGGGAAUGGCUCAUUGGUCAGUCCAAGGACAGCUUUUUUUUAGCUUUUUACCUGCUGCUCCUGAUUGAUACCCCAUGAUCUGUGAAUGCAAUAUGUCCACAAUUUCUCUUACAGAUACUGGGAAAUAUAUAAGUAAAACUUAGAGAGGAAGAAAGUUAAAAAGGUAAUGGAGGUUGCAGGAGACCCAGCACCAAAGUUUCCCUGUAUGAAUGCACAUGUGUGCACCCCACACACAGGUACACGUGUGCGCUGCUCCUCUUCCAUGGUCUCACCUCUGUGGCUUUAAAGAAUAGCAGAAGGGAAGGAAGAGAAUGGGGGAAAAGAAUUAAGACAUGUACAGGCACAAAUCCCCUAUCAUGAAUGUGAUCAUUAUGCAUGGAAAAAAUAUACAAAAAUUUUAAAAACAAUGAAGGGAGCAGGACCUCUGUACAUCAGCGAGUGCUGCCAUAACAGCUUCAACCACCAGGGCCUCAUCACUUACAGGGCAGCGUCUCAGCUCCUGUCCAUCUCCCACCCAGCUGCUCCUCAGCCCCAGCUCUCCUCCCUCUUUCUCUCCUGUUCUUGUGGCUUACUUAGUUCAUGCUUCCCCAAGGCGAACUCUACUUCCUUUCUCCUGUUUGGUCUGUGUCAGCUCCUGUAGAUGUCCACUUUGGUUUCCUCUUCUGGUAUUUGAGUGUCCACUAUGUUGCUAUCAUCUGGGUUAUUAAGAAUCUAUAUCCAACAAGGACGACCAGGACAGGGAGAGCAGCUACCAGUUUUCCCACAAUGGACACAGAAAUGCCAAUACUUGGCCUCUAAGGCUCGCUCACAUUCCCAGCUCUGCCACAUGGAUGGGUACUGCACUUCCUGGGUCUGGUUUGCUACUGUGAUAGGUUCAAGGAUCCUUUCCUCAAAGUGCUGGGAGAAGUUAAUCAGAUAGUGGUAUGAAACACCAACAAGUAACAAUUUUUGAAAAAGUUCUAACUGUAUUGUUAUUGUGAUUAUGUGACUUGUUCAUCACCUCUCAUGUGACAGAAGUCUUCUUUCAUGUCCUACUCUUCCCACUGACAGUCUUUCAAAAAAAUAUACACUUCCUUAGAAAGUAGAUUCUGUUACCCCAAUUCAUAAGUAAAAAGACAAGGUCAUAGAUGGAUUUUAUAAGUUUCCCAAUGUCAUACCAUUUGGAAGAAAAGUAACUGGGAUUAAUGAGCUCACCAUGACUCCUCGAGGAAACAGUUACAGGGUGCUUUCAGAGGCACACACUUUGCUAGGGGCUGAGCAGUAGCGAUGAUCAGACACAGGCCUGAAAGCAGGGUGCAGUUAAAUGAAGAAACAGGCAAGUAAUAGAUAACUCCAGAAUAGCAGGAUAAAGGCAUUCAAACAGGCAGUCAGGGGCUUGAGAGUCCCCAAGGUGACAGGACUCCACCAGACUGUGUUUUGGUCCCUGGUGCUGUGAGGAUUACAUUAUGAUACAGAGGGGACAAUCAAGGCGACCAUGGAAGGUAGACUUAUUAGGGCAGAUUACAGAUGGGAAGAAGUGACUUUCUAGGAGACAGGACUACCUUGAGCAAAGGCAUUAGGGCCGAAGCCCAAAGGACUCAUGGUGAGCAAGCACGUCCACCACGGUGAAGCCAGGACAUGGAGAGGUUAGAUAGCCAUGCUGAGAAGCUUGGGUUUUAUCCUGAAGUCCAAAGGGAGCCACCCAAAGGGUAGAUCAAUACUGGAGUUAUUCUGGGUGGCAGGAUGUGUGUGGCAGCUGCACAAGAAAGAGGAAAAUUUAGGUUGAAAGAUUAAAAGCUCUAUCAUGUCGAUCUCUGGCUCCCUACACACCUCAUGCAGGUCCUCUCUCAGCCCGGCCACGCCACGUUCCCAUUUCUGAUCAUCAGCUGCCUCCCCUGGCGAGUGGACUUCUCUCUCAGGUCUAAACUGAAGCACAACACCAGCCUCCUCUGCCCUUGGCUCCCCUGAAGGCUCACAAGAUCCUCUGUAGCUUCCACAUCCCUUCUUCCCUUCUGCUUAGAAAUCCAAGCAGUGCCACGCAGGUGGUCACACCCAUUUCAAGCCUCCUGGCUCUUGCUGCUCAUGCUUGAGGUAUGCUCUUGGUUGCAAGAAAACAUUUCUGCUCUCAUGUGUGGCAUUUUCUUGAUUGUGUAGCUUGGUGUCUGAAAUAAGUCCAUGGGUCUCUAAGCUAUUCUUUCAAAGCCACUUCUAAACUAGACAAAAUAAAUAAGCAGAACCCAA